rnacentral:lncRNA from 1 species
CAACAAUAUUAAAAGUAGUUCAAUUAAGAACCCUAUAAGGGCCUCUAAGUGUUCAAGUGAAAGGAAGAGCCUUACAUCUCUCCCUUUAAAUCAAAUGCUAGAUGAUUAAGCUUAGUAAGGAAGGCAUGUUGAAAAGCCAAGAUAAGCUGAAAGCUAGGCUUCUUGUGUCAGUUAGCCAAAUUGUGAAUGCAAAGGAAAAGUUCUUGAAGGAAAGUAAAAGUGCUAUUUCAGUGAACACACGAAUGAUAAGAAAAUGAAACAUGCUUAUUGUUGAUAUGUUGAAAAUUUGAGUGGUCUGGAUGGAGGAACAAAUGAGCCAUGAAAUUCCCUUAAGCCAAAUCCUAAUCCAGAGCAAGGCCCUAGCUCUUUUCAGUUCUAUGAAGACAGAGACAGGUAAGGAAGCUGCCUAGGAGGGUGGAUUACCUGAGGUCAGGAAUUCUAGAUCCACCAUUGCACACCAGCCUGGGGGACAAGAGCGAGACUUCGUCUCAAAAAAAAAAUAAAAAUAAAAAAUAAAAAAAAAGUGCAAGGUAAAGCAGAAAGUGCUGAUGUAGAAGCUGUGGCAAAUUAUCCAGAAGAUCUAGCUAAGAUCAUUGAUGAAAGUGGCUACAUUAAACAACAGAUUUCCAAUGUAGAUGAAACAGCUUUCUAGUAGGAGACAGUGCCAUCUAGGAUUUUCAA